rnacentral:rRNA from 1 species
AUUGAACGCUGGCGGCAGGCCUAACACAUGCAAGUCGAGCGGAUGAAGGUAGCUUUCUCCUGGAUUCAGCGGCGGACGGGUGAGUAAUUCCUAUGAAUCUGCCUGGUAUUGGGGGAUACCGUCCGUAAACGGGCGCUAAUACCGCAUACGUCCUUAGGGAGAACGUUGGUGAUCUUCUGACCUCACGCUCUCAGAUGAGCCUAGGUCGGAUUAGCUAGUUGGUGGGGUAAAGGCCUACCAAGGCGACGAUCCGUAACUGGUCUGAGAGGAUGAUCAGUCACACUGGAACUGAGACACGGUACAGACUCCUACGGGAGGCAGCAGUGGGGAAGAUUGGACAAUGGGCGAAAGCCUGAUCCAGCCAUGCCGCGUGUGUGAAGAAGGUCUUCGGAUUGUAAAGCACUUUAAGUUGGGAGGAAGGGAAGUAAGUGAAUACCUUGCUGUUUUGACGUUACCAACAGAAUAAGCACCGGCUAACUUCGUG